rnacentral:rRNA from 1 species
GAGGUUGAACGGCCACAUUGGGACUGAGACACGGCCCAGACUCCUACGGGAGGCAGCAGUGGGGAAUAUUGCACAAUGGGGGAAACCCUGAUGCAGCAACGCCGCGUGAAGGAAGACGGUUUUCGGAUUGUAAACUUCUGUUCUUAGUGAAGAAGAAUGACGGUAGCUAAGGAGCAAGCCACGGCUAACUACGUGCCAGCAGCCGCGGUAAU